ACGAACGCUGGCGGCGUGCCUAAUACCUGCAAGUUGAGCGCUGAAGGUUGGUACUUGUACCAACUGGAUGAGCAGCGAACGGGUGAGUAACGCGUGGGGAAUCUGCCUUUGAGCGGGGGACAACAUUUGGAAACGAAUGCUAAUACCGCAUAAAAACUUUAAACACAAGUUUUAAGUUUGAAAGAUGCAAUUGCAUCACUCAAAGAUGAUCCCGCGUUGUAUUAGCUAGCUGGUGAGGUAAAGGCUCACCAAGGCGAUGAUACAUAGCCGACCUGAGAGGGUGAUCGGCCACAUUGGGACUGAGACACGGCCCAAACUCCUACGGGAGGCAGCAGUAGGGAAUCUUCGGCAAUGGACGAAAGUCUGACCGAGCAACGCCGCGUGAGUGAAGAAGGUUUUCGGAUCGUAAAACUCUGUUGGUAGAGAAGAACGUUGGUGAGAGUGGAAAGCUCAUCAAGUGACGGUAACUACCCAGAAAGGGACGGCUAACUACGUG
rnacentral:rRNA from 1 species